GGGAGCCCAGGCUCGAGCUUGUAAAUAAACAACCUCUUGCUUUUGCAUUGGACUUGGUCUCCGGGUGAUUUAUGUGGGGGAUCCCGCAACUUGGGCACAACAUUUGGGGGCUCGUCUGGGAGAACUCCCCAAAAUCACCGAGUACCUGCUCCAGAGAUCAUUUCUGAAAUCAGUUCUGGGUAAAUAAGAGCCUCCGCUAUGACUUCAGAAAUACAGUUCAGCUGACCCAGCUUGCAGGUACUCACAAGGGAGAGAUGCAUCCAAAGAUGCCAAUUUUCCUACAUCCUAUGUUAAAUUAUGAAAGACGUGUGCAAAAUUAGCUGCCCACUCCAUGUGGAAAGUAAGCAUUUUGGUUGUUUCCAGUUUUCUUACGAGAAAUGCAAAUCAAAACCACCCUGAGAUACCAUCUAACCCCAGUGAGAAUGGCCCAAAUCACAAAAUCUCAAAACUGCAGAUGCUGGCGUGGAUGUGGAGAGCAGGGAACACUUUUACACUGCUGGUGGGACUACAAACUAGUACAACCCUUUUGGAAGGAGUGUGGAGAAACCUCAAAGCACUCAAGCUAGACCUCCCAUUUGAUCCUGCAAUCCCAUUACUGGGCAUCUACCCAGAAGGAAAAAAAAAAAAAAAAAAAAAAACUUUUAUCAUAAGGACACUGCACUAGACUGUUUAUUGCAGCUCAAUUUACAAUCGCCAAAAUGUGGAAACAGCUGAAAUGCCCACCAACCCAGGAAUGGAUUAACAAGCUGUGGUAUAUGUAUACCGUAGAAUACUAUUCAGCCAUUUAAAAAAUGGAGACUUUACAUCCUUUGUAUUAACCUGGAUGGAAGUGGGAGGCAUUAUUCUUAGUAAAGCAUCACAAGAAUGGAGAAGCAUGAAUCCUAUGUACUCAAUUUUGAUAUGAGGACAAUUAAUGACAAUUAAGGACAUGGUAUGGCUGGGGGAAGGGGAGAGCAGAGAGAGAAAGAAGGAGGGAGAGGGUGGGGAAAUGAAGAGCAGAGAGAGGGAAGGAGGGAGUGGGGUGGGGCCUUGGUGUGUGCCACAACUUUGGGGGGCAAGAUAUGAUUGCAAGAGGGACUUUGCCUAACAAAUGCAA